AUGGCCGGUGAUGGAGAUUAUUUUGUAUGCUCAUGGUGCCGUGGCGACUGCACGGCGGAGGGCUGCACGCUUGACUUCGACAUCAGCGUCUUCAACAAGGAGAAGAUCUCCCUCGCCAGCCAUGACGAGUAUAUGGUGGCGGGCGGGUGCAACCUCUUCCCAUUGCUCCCGGAGGCGUCAAGGGUGUCAUGUCCUUUGUCGUGA
rnacentral:rRNA from 1 species